UACGGAGGAUGCGAGCGUUAUCCGGAUUUAUUGGGUUUAAAGGGUGCGUAGGCGGGUUAUCAAGUCAGCGGUAAAAUUGCGGGGCUCAACCCCGUCGUGCCGUUGAAACUGACACCCUUGAGUGAGUGAGAAGUAAGCGGAAUGCGUGGUGUAGCGGUGAAAUGCAUAGAUAUCACGCAGAACUCCGAUUGCGAAGGCAGCGUACCGGCGCCCAACUGACGCUGAAGCACGAAGGCGUGGGUAUCGAACAGG
rnacentral:rRNA from 1 species